GUAACCUACGGGGGGCAGCAGUCGGGAAUAUUGCACAAUGGAGGAAACUCUGAUGCAGUGACACCGCGUAUAGGAAGAAGGUUUUCGGAUUGUAAACUAUUUAGACAGGGAAGAAAAAAGACAGUACCUGUAGAAUAAGCUCCGGCUAACUACGUGCCAGCAGCCGCGGUAAUACGUAGGGAGCAAGCGUUAUCCGGAAUUAUUGGGUGUAAAGGGUGCGUAGACGGGACAGCAAGUUAGUUGUGAAAUCCCUCGGCUUAACUGAGGAACUGCAACUAAAACUGAUUUUCUUGAGUACUGGAGAG
rnacentral:rRNA from 1 species